UCAACAAAAACUAGGAGCCUAUUGGGAAAGGAUUGAAACAUACUUCAAUGAAAACAAGCAAGGUGAGAAUAUAUUCCGUUCCAAAGUAUUGCUGCAGCAUCGUGGGAUAGGUUACAAAGAGAAGUGAAUACAUUUUGUGGACAUUUUGCAAAGAUUGAAGCAAGACAACAGAGUGAUUAUGUAGGCUCAACAAAUGUUCAAGAGUUUGGAGGGUCAUUCAUUCCGAUUCUCACACUGUUGGCAUACAUUGAAAACAAAGAAUGCAAGUCGACAAUCAUCUUCCCCAACAACGCCUGAUUCAAUCGAUCUAGAAGAAGAUGAAAGUGUACCCAACACUUUCGAAGGAUUAGAGCGACCACUCGAUAGAAAAGCAUCGAAAGAAUGCCUUCGCAAAGGCAAGUCACAAGCUAUUGGUGGUGCUAGCCCUGCUUCAGCAAUGAUGAUACUCAUCGUUGAUGGCAUCCUCCUCUUCAAGUAACAUAUUAACCAAACGAUUAUGGCGAACCAUAUGGAAAGUUUAUGUUUGCAAGAAAAAUAGAGUGAAAAUGAGGCUACAAUUGAAAGUGAGUCAA